rnacentral:rRNA from 1 species
AUUGAACGCUGGCGGCAGGCCUAACACAUUCAAGUCGGGCGGAGCGGCGGACGGGUGAGUAAUGUAUGGGGAUCUGCCUGAUGGAGGGGGAUAACUACUGGAAACGGUAGCUAAUACCGCAUACUAUCAGAUGAGCCUAGGUCGGAUUAGCUAGUUGGUGGGGUAAAGGCCAACCAAGGCGACGAUCCGUAACUGGUCUGAGAGGAGGAUCAGUCACACUGGAAAGGAGAAACGGUACAGACGACUACGGGAGGCAGCAGUGGGGAAUAUGGGACAAUGGGCGAAAGCCUGAUCCAGCAAUGCCGCGUGUGUGAAGAAGGUUUUCGGAUUGUAAAGCACUUUAAGUUGGGAGGCGUUACCAACAGAAUAAGCACGGGCUAACUCCGUGCCAGCCGCCGCGGUAAUAC